rnacentral:rRNA from 1 species
UGGGGAAUAUUGGACAAUGGGGGCAACCCUGAUCCAGCAAUGCCGCGUGUGUGAAGAAGGCCUUAGGGUUGUAAAGCACUUUCAGUGGGGAGGAAGGUAGUAGUAUUAAUACCACUAUUAUUUGACGUUACCCACAGAAGAAGCACCGGCUAACUCUGUGCCAGCAGCCGCGGUAAUACAGAGGGUGCUAGCGUUAAUCGGAAUUACUGGGCGUAAAGGGUGUGUAGGUGGUUAGGUAAGUUAGAUGUGAAAUCCCCGGGCUUAACCUGGGAAUUGCGUUUAAAACUGUUUAGCUAGAGUAUUGUAGAGGAUAGUGGAAUUUCCAGUGUAGCGGUGAAAUGCGUAGAUAUUGGAAGGAACACCAGUGGCGAAGGCGACUAUCUGGACAAAUACUGACACUGAGACACGAGAGCAUGGGGAGCAAACAGG